rnacentral:sRNA from 1 species
UAUUUUUUUUUAAUAAUAUGGGAGACUAAUCUCCCUCAUUCUACCAAAAAAUUAAGGGAAAUAUUUUUUCUUAA